UCUUGGAGGUUACUCUUUAUAGACAUGGAGCCAUAGAAAACCUGGACUCGUGGAGAAUGGGUUUUUAAUGGAAUCCUAACAGAAUCAAAGUUGUGUUGUGCACUGCUGUGGAAAACAGAGAAUGAAUCAUCGGAUUCUUUUUCACUUAUUUUCUUCCCUAUUGGACCAGAUAUCUUCUUUUUGCCCUUCCGUAAAGACUUCCCACCCAUCUCCCUGCUGCUCUUUGCCAUCGCAGGCUAACCUGUUUUGGAAGGAUUUGAAAACUUAUUCCCACACAAAAUGUUUCACGUGGAUAUUCAUGGUUGUCAAACUUAGAAGCGACCACGAAGUCUGCCAGUAUAAAUAAAUUAGGGUACAUCCAAAUAAUGCGAUAUUAUUCAGCACUAAAAAAGAAAUGAGCUAUCAAGCCAUGAAAAGAAAUGGAGGAAACUUAAGUGUACAUUACUAAGUAAAAGAACUCAGCUGAAAAAGGCUACCUACUAUAUGAUUCCACCUACGUGACAUUCUGGAAAAAGCAAAGCUAUGGAGACAAUAAAAGAAUUCAUGGCUGUCAAGAUAUAGAGAGGAAGGAAGGAUAAAAAGGCAGAGCACCGAGGAUGUUUUGAGGCAGUGAAAAUACUCUGUAUGAGGUUAUAAUAGUGGAUACAGGGAAUUAUACGUAUGUCCAUACCACAGAAUGCACAAAUCCAAGAGUGAACCAUAUGAAAACCAAGAGCUUUGGGUGAUAAUGAUGUCAGUGUGGGAUUAUCAAUUGUAAUAAAUGUACCACUCUGGUGGGCGAUGUUGAUAAUGUAAGAGGCUAUGCUUGUGUGGGGCAGGGGUAUAUGGGUUAUCUCUGCUUCUUAUGCUCAAUUUUGCUGUGAAUCUAAAACUGCUCUAAAAAAAUUAAGCCUUUAAAAUAAAUUAACAACAAUAACAACAACAAACACAUAUAAAAACAAAGGAAAUCUAAAGGAUGGAGUGAGAGAUUUUUCUAUCAGCAAUGAGGGUAACUAGGCAUUCUUGGUAAUGUAUUGGCCCCCUAAGGGUAUCUAUGCCCUAAUCUCCAGACCCUGUGACUACAUGACAAGAGGGGAUUACAGUUACUAAUCAGCUGCCUUUAAAUUUAAAUUUUCCUGGGUUAUCAGUGUGAGUUUAAUGUAAUCACAAGGGUUUACAUGUAGAAAAGGAAGGUUGAAGAGUCAGUGUAGGAGAGAGGUUUGGGGACACUGCACAGCUGGUUUUGAAGACGGAGGAAAGGGCUAUAAGCCAAGGAACCUAAGCAGCCUCUAGAAGCUGA
rnacentral:lncRNA from 1 species